UUUUUUUUGUUAUAAAGGUUUGCAUUCAUCAACUUGCGAUUAAAAAAGGUAAAAGUUUUACAUCAGGCUCAACCAGUGAAGCCGAUGACGAGUUCACAGGGUAAAAAGUGGAAGACGGCUUCUCUGUAGGAGACAGCCAAAAUUCACUAAUGAUCCUUCCGCAGGUUCACCUACGGAAA
rnacentral:misc_RNA from 1 species